UACGAAGGGAGCUAGCGUUGUUCGGAAUCACUGGGCGUAAAGCGCACGUAGGCGGAUUUGCCAGUCAGGGGUGAAAUCCCGGGGCUCAACCUCGGAACUGCCUUUGAUACAGCAAGUCUUGAGUUCGAGAGAGGUGGGUGGAAUUCCUAGUGUAGAGGUGAAAUUCGUAGAUAUUAGGAAGAACACCGGUGGCGAAGGCGGCCCACUGGCUCGAUACUGACGCUGAGGUGCGAAAGCGUGGGGAGCAAACAGGG
rnacentral:rRNA from 1 species